GAUGAACGCUAGCUACAGGCUUUAACACAUGCAAGUCGGGGGCGAGCAUGAAUCAAAGUUUGUCUUGGUUCGAUGGCGACCGGCGCACGGGUGAGUAGCACGUAUCCAACCUACCCUCCACUCGGGCAUAGCCCAUCGAAAGAUGGAUUAAUUCCCGAUGGUUUCACGAGAUUGCAUGAGAUCGUGAAUAAAGGCUUACGGUGGCGGAUGGGGAUGCGUUCCAUUAGCUUGUUGGCGGGGUAACGGCCCACCAAGGCGACGAUGGAUAGGGGUUCUGAGAGGAAGGUCCCCCACAUUGGAACUGAGACACGGUCCAAACUCCUACGGGAGGCAGCAGUGAGGAAUAUUGGCCAAUGGCCGGAAGGCUGAACCAGCCAAGUAGCGUGAAGGAUGACCGCCCUACGGGUCGUAAAACUUCUUUUAUAAAGGAAUAAAGGCGUCCACGUGUGGAUGUUUGCAUGUAC
rnacentral:rRNA from 1 species